rnacentral:rRNA from 1 species
UGGGGAAUAUUGCACAAUGGGGCGCAAGCCUGAUGCAGCCAUGCCGCGUGUGUGAAGAAGGCCUCGGGUUGUAAAGCACUUUCAGCGAGGAGGAAGGUGGGUGAACUUAAUACGUUCAUCAAUUGACGUUACUCGCAGAAGAAGCACCGGCUAACUCCGUGCCAGCAGCCGCGGUAAUACGGAGGGUGCAAGCGUUAAUCGGAAUUACUGGGCGUAAAGCGCACGCAGGCGGUUUGUUAAGUCAGAUGUGAAAUCCCCGGGCUCAACCUGGGAACUGCAUUUGAAACUGGCAAGCUAGAGUCUCGUAGAGGGGGGUAGAAUUCCAGGUGUAGCGGUGAAAUGCGUAGAGAUCUGGAGGAAUACCGGUGGCGAAGGCGGCCCCCUGGACGAAGACUGACGCUCAGGUGCGAAAAGCGUGGGGAGCAAACAGGUUAGAUACCCUGGUGUCAUGCUGUAAACGAUGUCGAUUUUGGAGGUUGUGCCCCUUGAGGCGUGGCUUCCGGAGCUAACGCGUUAAUCGACCGCCUGGGGAGUACGGCCGCAAGGUUAAAACUCAAAUGAAUU